AGCUAAUCGGCGCUACACCGUUGUUCAAAUACUUAUAAUUGCAAGAAACCCCCGACUAGGACCAGCAGUCAUUGAUGUUAGCAUGUACUACACAAAGAAAAACAGGCAAAGCAUGAAGCCAAAGGAAAUGUUUUUACCAAGGCAUGUUCCUCAAUAGCGGAGAGAGUUUUAUCCAGUGUCGGUUCUGCAGAAGAACCCAUUCAUAGCAGACCACCCAUUGCAGCACUUGUAAGGUCGCUAUAAAGAACCCGACAGACUCUGCGACCAAAAGAUCCCACUGACGUGUCGUCAAGCCUUGACGAAGAUUUCAUCGAUCAUAGUGCACCGGGAUUUUAUCAAAAAAGAGUAAAAGUUGGGGAAAGGCGCCAUCACAUUUUUUGUACUGAUAGACAGAUGCAACUACUCGCACGCGCAAAAACUUGGUAUAUGGAUG